UGGACGAAGAGAAAACAGAGGGGCUGAGUGAGAGUAGAAAAAACCAGAGAAAAACCAGGAAAAGAAAGAAAACAAAUGGGGUUUCAGUUGAGAGCUUUGGCGGCUAGGGGUUGCAAGAAAGCUUCAGGUAAGGAAGCUGCGGAGGAAGAAAGAAAAAGCUACGCGAGCAAAGCGAGGAAAAAACUAAGAGAGGAGCUGGGUAAGAGUUUCGGGAGGCAAGCAGGGACGGGCAAGAAAAAGGAACAAAAAGAGGGUUUUUUCUGGGCUGAAAAGAGAGAGGAGAGGCUGCGGGGAAAGAAAAAGAGAGAAAGGAAGGGCUGGGUUAGUUGAGAAGAAAAACAGGAGAGAAAACAAGAGAGCUGGAAAAUGAAGGAAGAAACAGAGGGGGUUGGAAUUUGGAGAGGAUCCGAGAGGAAAAACAGGGAGUAAAACAAAAGGAAAGAGAGAAAAUGGAGAGAGGAAGAGCAGAAAAAAAAUCUACAAAAAUUCCAUGAACCAGCCUGGUUCUGUCUCGAAUUCCAGCGUAUAUGUUAGGGUUUUGAGAGAAAUCUAGCUUUCUACACCAUCUAUGGGAACCCAUGAAUAGAUUUUGUUCAGAAAUCGUCCAUUAAAAAGGCCUCCAAGGUGAUCCAAUCAAGACCCAAAGUGUCGGAUCCGUCAUUGCUGAAGCUGUCUGCGACGAAGCUCUCAACCUCAUUUCUAGAAUUAGCACACAUUUUUUGAGCAAUAUCUCACGUUCAAUCGACCACAUAAGCACUCUCAGGUAACCAUGAACCUUCUCCUUGCUGAUUUAACACGUUUUCAUGAAGAUCUAAGCCAUUGGACAUGAAACUCUGGAAUAUCUGUUUUCAGCUUGAUGAGCUUGUUCCGUCCCUCUGUUAUAUUGUUUUGAGACAUUUUUCUUGCUGAAUAUUCUUUGUUUGGUUGAUGAAUCUUUGAUGUGUUGGAGUAUGAAAAUAAAAUGCAUGAAGUACAUGAUAUUGUUUGGUAAGAUAGUUUGUUUCAUGCGUUGGCUGGGAUGAAACCCAGAAGAUUGCGGAACUUUUGUUGCAGAAGAUUUGCGUUUUGCUCAUUGAAUUUCUAUGAUUUUGCCGCUUAAAACCAAGGCUUUGUUGUUAAUUGAGAAUUUAGUUGUAUUUAGCAAAGAGAAAUUUGCACUGUAAACACAGAUAGUGGCAGAAAAAGCAAAUUGGGGAAGGAGAAGAGCUCUUCGAUGCUUUGCAUGAAUAAUCUAGAAUUUUGCGUUUUAGCCCCUCAAGUUCUAUGUAAUGCUACUAUGGCCCAGAAGAUUGGAAAAGUUAAUCAUUUCUGUCCUUUUAAAUGUUAAUUUUUAUUUGGCAUGUUUUUAUGUGAUUUUUGGAUAGAUUAUUGGUGAAUUUUAGGAUGAAUUUUGAAGUUUAACAAUUUUUGAUAGAUUUGUAGCUUUUGAUUUGGAUUUUUGUAAAAAUGGUUUAGAUUUGGGUAAUUUUGUUGUUUAAUUAUAGCAGAUGGGUUUUCAUUUAUUUUGUGAAUCUUAGCAUUUGGUUUUGAUAGGUUUCAUCUUAAGCCAUUAAUUUUAUUUUAAUUUUAAUUUAAACCCUAAUAUUUGUAAAAAUAGUGAUUUGACCCCUAAAACUUCUUUAAUUCUUUCAAUUAGGUCCUUGUUUGUUUUAAUUUGUUGGAUAUGGGUUGUUUACUUUUAUUUGAAUGCUUUGAUAGCUUCCAUUUUGUGUUUAUUUUCAUUUCAUGUGAUUAUUUGUUAAUUAAAGUGAUGCCUUGACCUUUUAAUUUGUUUUUUAGGGUAAAUAAGAAAAACUUCAUUUCAUUAGGUUACCAUUUCAAGGGAGGUACACUCUAC
rnacentral:lncRNA from 1 species